rnacentral:misc_RNA from 1 species
AGCAAAAUAAGAAUAAGGUAAUUAACUUGAUAAAUUUUAUUGAUUUUUGCAUGUGCGGGCUUGCAAAACCAGCUUGCUUAGCAUAUUGAUGACAUGGGAAACCUAGCAUGUGUGGGUCGAUAGAUUUUGUUUUUUGGUCAAUAGGCCUUUUAUCCCAAAAAUAAAAUAAUUUAAUUCAUCCAUAUCAUCAUGCCACAUCGGAAGGAGCCUGCACCUUUAGGAUUAAAUUUGAAAUCAAUCCAAAAAAAUGACAAAAUUAAAAAGAUUAGCUAAAAUUGAUAAUUUGAGAUUUUUGCCCCCUAAUUUUACAGUGGGCAUACAUGGUUAAAAAGUUAGGGUAAACUGACUCCAUGAAUUUACAUGGUUACAGGAAUCACAA